rnacentral:rRNA from 1 species
GAUGAACGCUGGCGGCGUGCCUAAUACAUGCAAGUCGACCGAACAAACGAUGAGCUUGCUCCUUUUACUUUAGCGGCGGACGGGUGAGUAACACGUGAAUAACCUGCCUUUUUGUCUUGGAUAACUGCGGGAAACCGGGGCUAAUACGGGAUAAUCUGUUGAUCCUGAUUGUUCAAUAUUGAAAGACGGUUUUUUUGUUUCUUUUUGGUGUAUCCGCGUCGCAUUAGGUAGUUGGUAUGGUAACGGCUUACCAAGGCGACGAUGGGUAGCCGACCUGAGAGGAUGAUCGGCCACACUAGAACUGAGACACGGUCCAGACUCCUACGGGAGGCAGCAGUGGGGAAUCUUACGCAAUGGGCGAAAGACUGACGGAGCGACGCCGCGUGGGUGAUGAAGGUCUUCGGAUCGUAAAACGCUGUUAUUAGGGAAGAAAAGAAGUGUAAGUAACUAUGGAUGUCUUGACGGUACCUAGACAGAAAGCCACGGCUAACUACGUG